GCCCCGUAAUCGGAAUGAGUACACUUUAAAUCCUUUAACAAGGAUCCAUUGGAGGGCAAGUCUGGUGCCAGCAGCCGCGGUAAUUCCAGCUCCAAUAGCGUAUAUUAAAGUUGUUGCGGUUAAAAAGCUCGUAGUUGGUUCUGCGUGCCGCGCUGUCGGUUCGCCGCCUGUCGGUGUAACUGGCAUGUCGCGGCAUGUCCUGUCGGUGGUGAACGGAGUCCACAAUGCUACAUAGGCUUUAUAGCCGAUGUUAGCGUCGUGUGUACUUCCGUUGGCCGAUCUCUCCUACUUCGGUGCUCUUAAACGAGUGUCGAGGUAGGCCGACACGUUCACUUUGAACAAAUUAGAGUGCUUAAAGCAGGCUAAAAUCUCUGCCUGAAUAGUGGUGCAUGGAAUGAUAAAACAGGACCUCGGUUCUAUUUUGUUGGUUUUAGGAAUAUGAGGUAAUGAUCAAUGUGGACUGGCGGGGGCAUUCGUAUUGCGACGUUAGAGGUGAAAUUCUUGGAUCGUCGCAAGACGCACUAGAGCGAAAGCAUUUGCCAAGUAUGUCUUAAUUGAUCAAGAACGAAAGUUAGAGGUUCGAAGGCGAUCAGAUACCGCCCUAGUUCUAACCAUAAACGAUGCCAGCCAGCGAUCCGCCGAUGUUCCUUUAAUGACUCGGCGGGGAGCUUCCACCCGGGAAACCAAAGCUUUUGGGUUCCGGGGGAAGUAUGGUU
rnacentral:rRNA from 1 species